GAUGAACGCUGGCGGCGUGCCUAAUACAUGCAAGUCGAGCGAACGGACGAGAAGCUUGCUUCUCUGAUGUUAGCGGCGGACGGGUGAGUAACACGUGGAUAACCUACCUAUAAGACUGGGAUAACUUCGGGAAACCGGAGCUAAUACCGGAUAAUAUUUUGAACCGCAUGGUUCAAAAGUGAAAGACGGUCUUGCUGUCACUUAUAGAUGGAUCCGCGCUGCAUUAGCUAGUUGGUAAGGUAACGGCUUACCAAGGCAACGAUGCAUAGCCGACCUGAGAGGGUGAUCGGCCACACUGGAACUGAGACACGGUCCAGACUCCUACGGGAGGCAGCAGUAGGGAAUCUUCCGCAAUGGGCGAAAGCCCGACGGAGCAACGCCGCGUGAGUGAUGAAGGUCUUCGGAUCGUAAAACUCUGUUAUUAGGGAAGGACAUAUGUGUAAGUAACUGUGCACAUCUUGACGGUACCUAAUCAGAAAGCCACGGCUAACUACGUGCCAGCAGCCGCGGUAAUACGUAGGUGGCAAGCGUUAUCCGGAAUUAUUGGGCGUAAAGCGCGCGUAGGCGGUUUUUUAAGUCUGAUGUGAAAGCCCACGGCUCAACCGUGGAGGGUCAUUGGAAACUGGAAAACUUGAGUGCAGAAGAGGAAAGUGGAAUUCCAUGUGUAGCGGUGAAAUGCGCAGAGAUAUGGAGGAACACCAGUGGCGAAGGCGACUUUCUGGUCUGUAACUGACGCUGAUGUGCGAAAGCGUGGGGAUCAAACAGGAUUAGAUACCCUGGUAGUCCACGCCGUAAACGAUGAGUGCUAAGUGUUAGGGGGUUUCCGCCCCUUAGUGCUGCAGCUAACGCAUUAAGCACUCCGCCUGGGGAGUACGACCGCAAGGUUGAAACUCAAAGGAAUUGACGGGGACCCGCACAAGCGGUGGAGCAUGUGGUUUAAUUCGAAGCAACGCGAAGAACCUUACCAAAUCUUGACAUCCUUUGACAACUCUAGAGAUAGAGCUUUCCCCUUCGGGGGACAAAGUGACAGGUGGUGCAUGGUUGUCGUCAGCUCGUGUCGUGAGAUGUUGGGUUAAGUCCCGCAACGAGCGCAACCCUUAAGCUUAGUUGCCAUCAUUAAGUUGGGCACUCUAAGUUGACUGCCGGUGACAAACCGGAGGAAGGUGGGGAUGACGUCAAAUCAUCAUGCCCCUUAUGAUUUGGGCUACACACGUGCUACAAUGGACAAUACAAAGGGCAGCGAAACCGCGAGGUCAAGCAAAUCCCAUAAAGUUGUUCUCAGUUCGGAUUGUAGUCUGCAACUCGACUACAUGAAGCUGGAAUCGCUAGUAAUCGUAGAUCAGCAUGCUACGGUGAAUACGUUCCCGGGUCU
rnacentral:rRNA from 1 species